rnacentral:lncRNA from 1 species
CUGCCCGAUUGGACGCCGCGCGCGCCUGUGGCGGCCUUGACGUCCGUCGCACCGGCGUCUCGGGCACAUCCAUCACUGUCGCCCAUCUGCUUUGUCGUCGCCAUCAUCGACAUCACUUCCCAAGGACCUUUUUUCCUCUUUUGCGUCCUAUCUUUUUUUGCGCCGUCCGCCUCGGGCGGUUCCUCCCCUCUGGCAGAGCGCAGACGACAGCAAGGGCAGAGCGCGCCCCACAUGGCGCGCGCCGUUGCCGCGACCAGGGUAGGAAAAAGGGCGGCCACCCAGAAAUGCCCGCGCAGAGCGCAAAGGAGCGCUUUGUUGCGCGCAAAACUCGCGCACCCAGCGAAAAUGAGACAUGCCUUUUGCUCCUGGGAAAAAGAGAGAGAGAGCGCGUGGGUGCGCGCAGGCCCAACCUCUGAGAGGAGGUGCGCCCGGUGUUUUCGGCUGCGUGCGCGGAUAGGCGCGAGCACAACACAGCACAAGGCCCAUGGCAACGGAAAAAGCCAACCCCCGAUGUAUUUGUGCCCUUCCCCGAUCGUCGUGUGUGUUUAUUUUUCAAAAGGAGGAAAAAAGAAAGAAAUAAAGGUCUCGCAAUCCCUUUUUUUGCCAUUGCCUGCGCGCAGGACGCGUGUGUGUAUCGCACGCCGAGGAGCCACGAACCAAGGCGCACAGACAGAGGCCACGCGAGCAUGGCCUCUCCCGCCAAGGCGCAAGAAUGGCCGCCCAAGAGAAAGAAAGAAAAAAAAGAAGAUUCGGGCGACACAUUUAAAGCACCCGCCAGACGAGACCCGCCGCGCGCGAUGUCGUUGCAAUGGGCGCGCUGUGCCCCGGUGGUGCGCGGUCAGCGGCGGUUGUGGCGAGCGCGCGAUGCUACUGCAUGCGGAUCGACCGUGUCGCCGUCGUCGGUUUCAUCGCCCGCCGAGCCCGUGCGCGCCAACGCAACGAGGUGCUUUGCCAUGCGGUGCAUUUCGCCGACAUCGGUGGCGCUCGAAUCGUCAGCGCUGACGUGACGCGCGCGCCUCUUGGGUGCCGGACGCCGCCUCGUACGACGUGCGCGUUCGGGCACGGUCGAAUCCGACAGGCUCGACGAGACACCCGUGGACACUGUGGAAAAGGCGGACGCCCACGGUGCCGAAAUCGACGAGAUGGACACAGUGUUGCCCGACGAAGGCGAACACGGGUCGCGCCGACGACGUCUCUGCCGUUGCGGCCUCGACACGCUGUCGUCACAUGAAGACGACGAUGACGAUUCCGACGACGAAGAAAAGGACGAAGAGGGCGACGUUGACGACGCUGUGGUGCGCGACGUUCCAAACGUUGUGCCCGAAAAGAAGGAAGACGAAGACGUUGAACAAGAGGAAGAUGCCGUCGACGAGGAGGAUGAGGAUGAGGAAGACGGGGGCGCGUGGUGGUGUGUGGGCGCCGGACCACGACGCUGCCGGCGUACGGACGAUGCUGCCGGCGCAUAGGCCUGGCUGUGCGCAACCUGCCGCUUGUCAUUGUGGUCUCUGUCAUUGUCGUCGUCGUCAUUGUCGUCGUCAUCGUUACUGUUGUCAUAAUAGACAACGUUGGCAGUGCGCUCGACG